ACGCGCGGAACCUUACCAGGUCUUGACAUCCCACUGACCGCUAUGGAGACAUAGCUUUCCCUUCGGGGACAGUGGUGACAGGUGGUGCAUGGUUGUCGUCAGCUCGUGUCGUGAGAUGUUGGGUUAAGUCCCGCAACGAGCGCAACCCUUGAUCUUAGUUGCCAGCAUUAAGUUGGGCACUCUAAGGUGACUGCCGGUGACAAACCGGAGGAAGGUGGGGAUGACGUCAAAUCAUCAUGCCCCUUAUGACCUGGGCUACACACGUGCUACAAUGGAUGGUACAAAGGGCAGCAAAACCGCGAGGUCGAGCAAAUCCCAUAAAACCAUUCUCAGUUCGGAUUGUAGGCUGCAACUCGCCUACAUGAAGCUGGAAUCGCUAGUAAUCGCGGAUCAGCAUGCCGCGGUGAAUACGUUCCCGGGCCUUGCACUCACCGCCCGU
rnacentral:rRNA from 1 species